CCUGGUUAGACCAACCUUGAGCUGCCUGAGGCACUGGCUUGUGCUUUGUGCUCCCAUUUUCAACAAUAAAGCUGGGAUACUCUGAGAAGUGCAUGGGCAGCAAUGGAGUAAAAAAACAAUAGAUUCCACAUGUGGAAUAAAAAUGACUCAGCUGUCUUCGAAAGUGUCUGGGGUCAAGAAGCAAGGCUGCUGCCACACCAGGUAGGAUGACAAAGCAGGCUGGACACUCACGCCCACACUUCUGGGAUGGAUGGAGAUCUUCACAGUGUUGGGAGUGCCCUCUAAUGGCCGGAAAGGGGAAACAACCAUAACUUCAUGUGUGAAAUGUACGUGUGUGGAUGUGUUAAUUAAGAA